rnacentral:tRNA from 1 species
GCCGAGGUGGCGGAAUUGGAAGACGCGCAAGGUUCAGAGCCUUGUGGCUGUUAGGCCGUGUGGGUUCGAAUCCCACCCUCGGCA